UGCCAGCAGCCGCGGUAAUACGGAGGGUGCAAGCGUUAUCCGGAAUCACUGGGUUUAAAGGGUGCGUAGGCGGAUAGAUAAGUCAGAGGUGAAAGCCCACAGCUUAACUGUGGAAUUGCCUUUGAUACUGUUUAUCUUGAAUGAGGUUGAGGUUAGCGGAAUGAGUCAUGUAGCGGUGAAAUGCAUAGAUAUGACUUAGAACACCAAUUGCGUAGGCAGCUAGCUAGGCCUUUAUUGACGCUGAGGCACGAAAGCGUGGGGAGCGGACAGGAUUAGAUA
rnacentral:rRNA from 1 species